CUGCUGUGCGGACUGAGUAAGUUGGUGUCUGUAAUGCCCUCAACCUACCACACAGGAGUGUGGAUCACAUUUAUUGCCAUUUUUGUGCUCAAUUGAUCUUUUGGUGGAGCAGUGGGACGAACUUGCUCAUGCAGGCCCACGGGGCCACAGUAACAGGAAGAGCUAAUCAGGCUGCUGGGAAAUGUGGCGGACUGGCCUGGAGAGUAUCUCUCUGUACCUCUCCUUCGUUGGUCGCCUGUCGCACCUCUGUGGCAUUCCUGUCCGGCUUGAUAUAAACUCUCGCUGCCUCUACCAGUCUCCGUAUCCUGCUUCAUCUCGAACUGUACUUUUUCGGCUCCCUAAAAGAUAUGCCUGCAGCAGAGCCUCCAGGCCCAUGUUCAAAGGAUGACAAAACUCCUAUGCCCUGGUCGCCUCUGUCUAUGGAAAAUUAGCCAGCCUCUCUCCUGCCUCACCGAUCCGGCCCUUUCCCAGAAGAAUCCUCUUCCCCCACCCUUAUAUGCCACCUGGAGGAGGAGAGGAAGACACAUGGACUCAGCCCUGGAGGCCUGAAGAAUGAGGAAGAAUUCACCAAGUAAAGGAAGAUACAGCGGGGCUGUUCUCAAAGAAUCCCAAGCAGAGAGAGCAGUGGACAGAGGCCUUCGGAUGAGGGUGUUGAGGUGGAGGUGGAGGCUGGACUGAGGCCUUGCUUGUGUGGACUGUGCUCUGAGGGCAUGGAAUGAGCACAGAAAGACUUGGGGGGCUGGGGAUUUAGCUCAGUAGUGCUGCUGCCUGCUUUGCAAAGUGGAAGGUCCGGAGUUCCCUGGUACCAAAAAAAAAAAAGGCUUGGGGCAAGAGCAUCCUGCAGUUGCCAUACAGAGGAAGGAUUUGGGGCCAGAGGGGUGAGGGUGACCUUCAAGCAGGCUCCCAACCAUUUGUCCCUCCUCCCCCAUGAGCGGGUACAGCUCCUCCUUCCGGGUUAGAAAGGGAGGCAAGACUGCAGCUGUUUCUCCUUUCCCCACACUCAUGGGCUGACUCCUUUCUGGACAGACACAGACACAUGUACGCGUGCAUAGACACGCACACACCUGCUGCUCUCCCUGGCAGAAGAAAGGCAGGGAUGAUCUGGGAGAGGGGACACAGAGCCAUCUGACCUGGGAGAGCUAGGUGAGAAGGGGUUUCAUACUCCGCUGCAACUCUGUCACCUCACCCUGCAGUGUCGCCCACCCCCACCCCCGGGAGCUGGGAACACACAGACUGUAUGUGAGAGUGUACUUGUGUGUGGACUGGGAUGUGUGGUGUGUUCAAGAAACACAAGGGAGGUGCCCCCAAGGGCAGCUCCAGGGUGGAAAGGGAUUUUAGGAUUCUGAGAUUAAAGAAUUAAACAUCCUGCCACAACCCCCUCGGAGCCUGGAAUCCUUGCGGCCUCACAGCAGAGAGCUCUCAGCUGAGCCAGGCCAGAGCUGCACCAGCUCUGGGCUGCUGCUUCUGGCCAGGUCUCACCCAGGCUUCCUGAAGCACCUUCCCUGCCUGGGACCCAGGCCACAUGGGCUCAGACCCCCUCAGGUGCUCUAGCCAGACUCCAGCCAGCCUUCAUCAGGGUGCAGCCCUGACCCAGGGGCUCAGAUGUGUCUGUUCACUCUGCCCAUCCCGGCAAUCUCGGUCCAACAACCCUUCGCUCCCCUCCUGUGCUAUCCCCCACCCUGCUGCCAGAGAGGCUUCCGAGAAAACUCACUCAGGUUGCUGCUUUCCUUGCUGUCUUUCCAUGGCUCCCACUCCCCUCCCAGUGGAAGCCAAACUCCUCCCCGCAGCUGACAAGGCCCAUCAGCCCUCUGGUCUCAGUGUCUGAGCCAGAUGGAGCUCUCCUCUCCGGCCAUCCAGGAGUGCUGGGUGCUCACCUCCCUGCCUGCCACCCCACUGCACCCCAAGCCUCUGUACUGCCAUUGUCACUCUUGGAGACCCAUCACUCACAUGGCUCCACUGAAACCCCUCCUAGAUGCUCAGGCCUCAACUGAGAAGUUCAUUCUUGGUAGAGGCCAGGAGCCUGUGACCACCAUACAGACCCCUUGAGGGCUGAGUGUUCCCCUUCUCCCCAGAACUUCACCUGCUGCAGCACUGAGCACCCUGUGCUGCAAAGGCCUAUUGGACAUAUGUAUCCCGCACUCUGCUGUAUGCAUAAGAUGGCAACGGCAUAUUCCAAGAGCAGGAAGGGAUGUACAGGGGCUGAGCAGGCAGGAAGCUUCACCUUGUGGUCAGGUUCAAGUGUCAAAGACACAGCUGCCACACUCAGGGUGAUGUGACAGCUGUGAUUCCCUGCACGGACCCCAGGCCAGGCCCUCUGCUGAGCACUAUCUCAUUUCACGCCCAGUGACCUUUGGAGAGGUGUCAUUGCUACAUCCCUGAUUCAAAGAUAAGGAAACAGCUAUGGCGUGGCUGUGAUUUGGCGCACCAUACUGUUGAGGAAGCUUAUUCCCCAGUGGGCGGAGAAUUGCCAUGCGGGACCUUUUAGACUGAUUAAAGCAAGAGGGCUCAGCACUCAUGAAUGGACCAAUCCAUUCAUGGAUUUUGUCUGUUUGGUUUGAUUGUUUGUCUGUUUGUUUUGAGACAGAGUCUCGCUAUGUUGUUUGGGGCUGGCCUGAACUUACUCUGUAGUCUGGGAUAGAUUCAAACUCACAGAGAUCCUCCUAUCUCAGCCUUCCCAGUGCUGGGACUGUAGGCAUGUGCC